UAGCGUAUAUUAAAGUUGUUGCAGUUAGAACGCUCGUAGUCGGAUUUCGGGGCGGGUCGACCGGUCUGCCGAUGGGUAUGCACUGGCCGACGCGUCCUUUUUGCCGGAGACCGUCCCUACUCUUAACUGAGCGGGGGCGGGAGACGGCACUUUUACUUUGAAAAAAUCAGAGUGUUUCAAGCAGGCAGCUCGCUCUUGCAUGGAUUAGCAUGGGAUAAUGAAAUAGGACUUUGGUGCUAUUUUGUUGGUUUCGAACACCGAAGUAAUGAUGAGAAGGGACAGUCAGGGGCACUCGUAUUCCGCCGAGAGAGGUGAAAUUCUCAGACCAGCGGAAGACGAACCACUGCGAAAGCAUUUG
rnacentral:rRNA from 1 species